GUUCAGUAUUGUUGAAGACGUAGGGUGUUUAGAGGAAGAAAAUGACGAACACCUAUGGGACACCCAAAGAGAGAGUUCUGGAGAGGAAGGCAAGAACUCAGGGCAGAAGACAGAAAUUUGGAAGAAUGCAUGAUGAAGAAAGACCAUUUCUCAGCUAGGACAGAGGGAAGGGGACACUGGUUCGAGCACUGGCCUGGGAGGAUCCCAC